rnacentral:rRNA from 1 species
GACGAACGCUGGCGGCGUGCUUAACACAUGCAAGUCGAACGGAAAGGCCCCUUUGGGGGUACUCGAGUGGCGAACGGGUGAGUAACACGUGAGUAACCUGCCCUUGACUUCGGGAUAACUUCAGGAAACUGGGGCUAAUACCGGGUAGGAAUCCUUGCUGCAGGGUGGGGGUUGGAAAGCUUCGGCGGUUUUGGAUGGACUCGCGGCUUAUCAGCUUGUUGGUGGGGUAGUGGCUUACCAAGGCUUUGACGGGUAGCCGGCCUGAGAGGGCGACCGGCCACAUUGGGACUGAGAUACGGCCCAGACUCCUACGGGAGGCAGCAGUGGGGAAUAUUGCACAAUGGGCGGAAGCCUGAUGCAGCAACGCCGCGGGCGGGAUGACGGCCUUCGGGUUGUAAACCGCUUUCAGCAGGGGCGAAGCUUGUGGUGACGGUACCUGCAGAAGAAGCACCGGCUAACUACGUG